rnacentral:rRNA from 1 species
CAGCCAUCAUUUAAAGAAAGCGUAAUAGCUCACUGGUCGAGUCGGCCUGCGCGGAAGAUGUAACGGGGCUAAACCAUGCACCGAAGCUGCGGCAGCGACGCUUAUGCGUUGUUGGGUAGGGGAGCGUUCUGUAAGCCGUUGAAGGUGUGCUGUGAGGCAUGCUGGAGGUAUCAGAAGUGCGAAUGCUGACAUAAGUAACGAUAAAG